CCUAGGGGGGCAGCAGUGGGGAAUCUUGCGCAAUGGGCGAAAGCCUGACGCAGCAACGCCGCGUGGGGGACGAAGGCUCUCGGGUUGUAAACCCCUUUCAGGAGGGACGAAAUUGACGGUACCUCCAGAAGAAGCCCCGGCCAACUACGUGCCAGCAGCCGCGGUAACACGUAGGGGGCGAGCGUUGUCCGGCUUUAUUGGGCGUAAAGAGCUCGUAGGUGGCUCGGUAAGUCGGGUGUGAAAUUUCGAGGCUCAACCUCGAGACGCCACCUGAUACUGCUGUGGCUAGAGUCCGGUAGGGGAGCGUGGAAUUCCUGGUGUAGCGGUGAAAUGCGCAGAUAUCAGGAGGAACACCAGCGGCGCAGGCGGCGCUCUGGGCCGGUACUGACACUGAGGAGCGAAAGCGUGGGGAUCAAACAGGAUUAGAUACCCUGGUAGUC
rnacentral:rRNA from 1 species